GAAGCAGAUGCUGAGGACUUGGAUGAGGACGGGCACCAAAUCUGCAUUGUCCAUUGCUAUUUCCCAGGUUGAGUUGCUGAAGCGGCUUCAUUGUCUGGGGACAUACCCAAGGUUCGUCAUCGCGUGACGAGAAGAUUAAGGACACAGACGCAAACACGGAGCGGGUCAAGUAGCGGAAAGUUUAAUAGGCAGGAAAGAAGAGAACAGCUCACCGGUAGAGAGCCGUCAAUGGUGUGCCAGAUAAGAAGCUAUGCACUGAAAAGAUGGAGAGGAGCGGCGAGAUUCUGCAUCUUAGCUUGCCUAGGUGGGGAGCAGGAAAAAGGAGGAAGACUGAAGCACAAAGCUUCUCUCGUCUGUGUCACCCUCUGCAAGGAGUUUGCAGUUGGACUGGAAAACCCACAUUUCCCACUGAGUGCUUUACCACUCUCAGUGGAACUUAGGUUCUGAUACUGAGAACAAAGGAGAGAAUGGACAAUGAAGGGAUCACUAGCAGUUUUCAUUACAAAUAGUAUCUUGAAAAAACCUUAACAAUAAGGUGAGGUGUGGUGGCUCAUGCCUGUAAUAUCAGCACUUUGGGAGACCGAGGUGGGCAGAUUGCUUGAGCCCAGGAGUUCCAGACCAGCCUGGGCAACAUGGCGAAACCCUGUCUCUACAAAAAUAUACAAAAAAUUAGCCAGCAUGGUGGGACGUGCUUGUAGUCCCAGCCACUCAGGACACUGAGGUGAGAGGAUCACCUGAACCCAGAAAGUCGAGGCUGCAAUGAGCCAUGAUGGUGCCACUGCAUUCAAGCCUGGACGACAGAGUGAGACCCUGUCUCAAAAAAUAAAUAAAAGCAAAAGAAACAAUAGAAAAACACAAGAAGGAAGGAAAAAUCAUAUUUACAGUUUUUAAAUGUGAACGAACUGAAUUCUCUUAUUAAAAGAUAAAGACCACCAGAUUAAAUGAAAAAUACAAAACCACUUAAGUUGCUUAGAAAUACAAUUGUAACGAAAUUGUUUUAUAAAAAGGCUGAACACAGGAAGCACCUUCCCCAGUUUCUUC
rnacentral:lncRNA from 10 species